CCUACGGGAGGCAGCAGUAGGGAAUCUUUCACAAUGGGCGAAAGCCUGAUGGAGCAACGCCGCGUGCAGGAUGAAGGCCUUCGGGUUGUAAACUGCUUUUAUAAGCGAGAAAUAUGAUGGUAACUUAUGAAUAAGGAUCGGCUAACUACGUGCCAGCAGCCGCGGUCAUACGUAGGAUCCGAGCAUUAUCCGGAGUGACUGGGUGUAAAGAGUUGCGUAGGUGGCAUAAUAAGUAGCUAGUGAAAUCUGGUGGCUCAACCAUUCAGACUAUUAGCUAAACUGUUAAGCUCGAGACCGUUAGGGGUAACUGGAAUUUCUAGUGUAGGAGUGAAAUCCGUAGAUAUUAGAAGGAACACCAAUAGCGUAGGCAGGUUGCUGGGACGGGUCUGACACUAAGGCACGUAAGCGUAGGGAGCAAACGGGAUUAGAUACCCUAGUAGUC
rnacentral:rRNA from 1 species